CAACGCACUUCUCUCUCUCUCUCUCAAAAAGGCAGCACCAAUCCGAUAAAAAAAAAGGCAGCACCAACAGAUGCGCCGUCGGUCGCUGCUUGUAGGCGCGUACCGCCGCCAACCAUAUCUUAACCGGAGGCAAACCGUACGUCGCAGCGUCAGCGCCGGCCCCUUUUGCCGAAUGGAUUCGGCGGGGCAUGCACAGACCUUCAUUACAGAGCAAAUCGCUUCUGAUUAACUCUGGCGACCUGCUGGCUACACCCUAAUGGAUUUCCACUGGAUCCACUGGAGAUCUGGCGCCAAAGAGGACACGCGGUGUCUAUAAGCGCUGGCACUACUGCGCAGAGAAUCUAGCACUGGCGAGCUGCGAAGCAGUCCGCAAGGUGAACAGGGUAGCCAGCGGCCUGCGUGGAGCAGCCCAGCACACCAGGCAGUAAGGAGUGGAAGCUGGGUGCUGCAGGUAGCAGCUCAGGUUUGCACUUCAAGGAUGCAGCCUUAAUCAAGGACCUAGUUACAUUUUGUGUGAACUUAGUUCUUGAAAUUUGACCGAUAAAGUAGAUUAAUGAUAUGCACCCAUAGAAAACAUUAAUUUUGGUCAGAAUGGUUGAGUGAGGUUAGUAAGAACGGAUAGGUUGAGGGUUAGAAUAAGAAAAAUUAAUUAAGCUUUUCGUCUGUGAGUUAACAUGGUAUGCUUGUUCGUGAUAUAAUAAUAUAUCCCUCGAGAAUAGCUCAAUCCAUCAUUAGGCCGUUUUAAUAUUUAUUGUGGCUUCAUAUGGAUCAAUUUGCAGUCAAGCUAGAUUCUUGAUUCUUUUAUUUAUUCAUAGUAUUCCAGAUAGAUUUCCAACUCAAUCUUUUGAAAUCUUGCUGAACAUUUAUUCUCAAAUGUUCUAACUUCUAAGAGAUGCUACAUGGUAGUUUUAGCAAAUUUUCUAGGCACAAAAGAGCUUUGACCAAACACAGAAAUGCAGUGCUAACUCUUCUGAACGUUACUUACCAUUUAAAUUGAUUAAGACCAAAUGAAUGCGCCGCUCAUUCUUCUUCUGAAUAGUGUACAAUAGAAUUGUUCAAAAAACAAACUGUCAUAUUAUUCAUACAUAUGUAGAUCAUAUAUGAAAACAUGCUAACUAUUAAGCAUAUACUCCGGCUUCUGCGGGUAAACUACUGACUCGAACAAUUUUUUGAAAAUGUCCUUCCUCUCACAUGGCUCUUGUUUGGCAUACUUGAUCUUGCAAUUGACUACUUGUGUCCUCAAAUUUUACAUCAAUACGUUUAGUCUCAAACUCUCCAUAUUCCCAGACUUUAACUUCAUGUCAUCCUUGUGGCUGCAUGAACAGUACUUUUAUCUUUGGCGUAGCCAACACUGAGCCUCCAUGUUCAAGGUUUGGCUUUUGCACUAACACUUCAGGUAUUUUUGGGCACUCUUUUUCUUAUUUUCCAGAUUUAUUGUUUUCAUUUUCUUCAUCUUCCAAGUCUGAUAAUACAAUAGAUUUCCGCCUUAUUUUUCUGCUACCGACACUUGUUGAUGUAUUUUUAUGUUGAUGCUCCUUCUGAGGUUCUGUACUCCCGUUUUAUCUUCUGGAUCCUAUUUCGCAGGGACCAACUCGCAUGUGUUCUUGGUAAGCUCACAUUUGCUGAUUUGUACGUGCAGAAAUCACAUGAAUGGAUGAACUAAGAGACGGAUUUAUUUAAGGAAAAGUUUGUACAAUGAAGUAUUCAUUCACCUUUUUAACUGGCUCAUUCUGUUUAUUUGAUUCUUGUUUUAACAUGUCCGCCUCAUCAUCCAUCAAAUCCUGUUGAGCACAAUGGAUAAAGAACAUAAAUAUCUGCUUCCAUUGUUUCAUAUAAAAAGGGUAUAAUAAUUGGUGUACAAAUAAUAAAUUUAAUGAUUUAAUCAACCAUCACCUCUUCAGCUUUAUCGUCUAAGUAUCGCUUUUCAAGCCUCUCAUGAGGCACAAAUGUUUUUUUACUGUAUAGUUUUGUAUACCUAGAGUGAAGUUCUUAUUGUUGAGUUUGAACCGAAAGAUAAGUCUUUGUCCACAUAAUUCACAUAUAAUCUUUGCGACUUCUUCAGAUCUUCCGUCUAAGAAAGUCAACAGGAAUGAGACUGAUAUAUUGAAACUUUCAGCCUCUUCAUCAAAUAAAGAAAACAACCUUAUUAAUGAAAAGUUGACGCAUAGAUAUACACUUAUUCUCGCAUAAGAAUUCCGAUCUCACGUAUAUCUAAAGUUGUUGUUUUGUUGUUGUCAUCCUUGAUUCUAUUGGUUUAAUCUUGGUAAGAACCCAAUGACAUCUGCAAAUUUUAAGAUUAAUGACUUCAAAAUUAGAAAGUUAAUCAUUGGGAGUAUAUUAGCACAACUACCAACAUAUGACUUCAAAUUAAAAAUAACCACUUGGAAGUAAGAAAUAUGACUACCAACAUACCUGAGCAUUGUUGGUAUUUUUCUAGCUGUUCUUGUAGGGUAUCUUUGCUAGCAAACUCGAAGUACUAAUCUGGAAAAUUAUCCGAGGAACCUUUCAUCUUCGUUAGGUCUGUUUUGUAUAGAAUUGUUUUUAGUUUCUUCGUUGACUGGGCGAUAUUUUGUCGGAUCUACAACUUUAAAAUUGCUAAAAGCAUAUAUGGAACCCUCGUUGAUCUUCGAUCUAUAAGUUUCCAUUAGAUUCUUCUAGAUAGUAGCAUGAAUUGUAUCACCCUUCAAAACUGAAUGAAGAUAAUCUUAGAAAUAAUUUUGAUAGUAGAAGAAAUACCAUUGUUAUAAUGUGAAGAAAAUACCUGCUCAUCCAUCUAGAUCAUAUCAAUGCUUAUAAGUUCAUCAGGUGAAGGGUUGAUUGAAUCCCACAUUCUCAUUACUUUGGCUUUAUUAUUCAAUGUGUGUCCUCUUGUGGUUAGCUCACUCAACUUCUUGUACGCCAUAGGUUGUUGCCUUCAAAACAAUUAUAAAAAAGAGUGAUUCAUCUGAUAAUGCACCAAUAAAAUUUUGGUUUAAAAAAUGUUCUAACUAAACAAUGAACAUGAAAAUAGGGUGUUUGUAAGGAAGUUGCGAAGAAAGCUGUGAUGGGAAGAUUUGAGCAGACAUCAAGCAGUUAUAUAUACUACCCAUAGUAGAUGAUGUUUCUAUUGUUCCUUCUACAGGCCUUCGAUGUGUCGGUCGUCUUGCCAUUCCCUUGGAUACGCCGGGUGUCCUGCCGAUCUUGCCGGUGCAACUGAUCGUCCUCGACAUGUGUGGAUAUGUUGUUACCCAAAUUUGAUGAUGUUUUUGUUGUUUCUUCUUCGGGCCUUUGAUGUGCUGGGCGUCCUGGGGAGGCGUCGACCUUGCCGAUGCAACUGGUUGUCAUUGGCUUGUGUCGAUCUGCCUUCAAUCUGUUGUGCGCGUGAUGUGACGUGUGAAGGCGCGUGUUGAUUGCUAGGCGUGAUGUCGUGUAUGUUUUGCUCUUCUGGGCGUGUGCCCACCUAUUCAUAUACUAGUAGAAUGCCCGUGCGUUGCUACGGGCUACAGUGCAUACAAAUGAAUCAAACCAGUGGUUAAGGUCGUCUUCAAGGUUGAA